CCUACGGGAGGCAGCAGUAAGGAAUAUUGGACAAUGCUCGCAAGAGUGAUCCAGCCAUGCCGCGUGCAGGAAGAAUGCCCUAUGGGUAGUAAACUGCUUUUGAACUAGAGAAAACCCCAGUACGUGUACUGGGCUGAUAGUAUAGUUAGAAUAAGCAUCGGCUAACUUCGUGCCAGCAGCCGCGGUAAGACGAAGGAUGCAAGCGUUAUCCGGAUUCAUUGGGUUUAAAGGGAGCGUAGGUGGACUGAUAAGUCAGUGGUGAAAUCUCCGAGCUUAACUCGGAAAUUGCCAUUGAUACUGUUGGUCUUGAGUACAGUUGCUGUGGGCGGAAUAUGACAUGUAGUGGUGAAAUACAUAGAGAUGUCAUAGAACACCGAUUGCGAAGGCAGCUCACAAAGCUGUAACUGACACUGAGGCUCGAAAGUGCGGGGAUCAAACAGGAUUAGAUACCCUGGUAGUCCGCACCGUAAACGAUGAUUACUCGCUGCUAGGGGGCAACCUUUAGUGGCUUAGCGAAAGCGAUAAGUAAUCCACCUGGGGAGUACGCCGGCAACGGUGAAACUCAAAGGAAUUGACGGCGUUGGACGUUGCGACGGAGCACAGGGAGGUUAGG
rnacentral:rRNA from 1 species